GAGCGGGUUGAGCUCCUGGGCUAGGAGGGGGCCGGCUGCUUGACGCGGCUCUUGGGGAGAUCUGUUGUCGAAGUGUUUAAGGUGCCUGCCUGGGAUUCCCGUCGCGAAGAACGCGGAAAGGCCCGGCGGCGCACGGAGAAAAGUGGCUCCAUGCGCCUUGGGUAGGAGCCCCGACAAGCCACUUUUCGCGUCUGGGCCCCCAGGUUUUCUCUUCGGCAGCCAAUAGCAGGAGACAAGUCAUACCCAUUUUCAGAAGCUGGGUAUGCUCCUGUUGACAUAGUGUGUGAAAUUAAAACAAGGUGGUGAGAAGUUCUCAGGUGGUGAGAAGUUCCAGGAGCAGCACUAGUGCACAGGCUUCAUCUGUCCCUGUUUACCAGGGCACUCCCUACUUUCUAGAAUGGAAAAUCACUGCCCCAUUUUGUCCGUCUCCUGGGACGCCUUCGCUUUUUUCAUAUGAAUUGUCCUUCAGAGAGUCUUAGCAGAAGCUUCUGCCCAGCAACUGCAGCAAGGGACUUGCCUCAUCAAGCGCUGAGGGAGUUCCAGUUACUGAGCCCCACUCCCUUGCCUCAGCAGGAGCCGCGACCUGGAAGGCAGUGGCCAACAGGAGAUACCAACUGACAAAGAAAG